CCUACGGGCGGCAGCAGUGGGGAAUAUUGCACAAUGGGCGCAAGCCUGAUGCAGCCAUGCCGCGUGUGUGAAGAAGGCCUUCGGGUUGUAAAGCACUUUCAGCGGGGAGGAAGGCGUUAAGGUUAAUAACCUUGUCGAUUGACGUUACCCGCAGAAGAAGCACCGGCUAACUCCGUGCCAGCAGCCGCGGUAAUACGGAGGGUGCAAGCGUUAAUCGGAAUUACUGGGCGUAAAGCGCAAGCAGGCGGUCUGUCAAGUCGGAUGUGAAAUCCCCGGGCUCAACCUGGGAACUGCAUUCGAAACUGGCAGGCUAGAGUCUUGUAGAGGGGGGUAGAAUUCCAGGUGUAGCGGUGAAAUGCGUAGAGAUCUGGAGGAAUACCGGUGGCGAAGGCGGCCCCCUGGACAAAGACUGACGCUCAGGUGCGAAAGCGUGGGGAGCAAACAGGAUUAGAUACCCUAGUAGUC
rnacentral:rRNA from 1 species